GAUGAAGAACGCAGCGAAAUGCGAUAAGUAAUGUGAAUUGCAGAAUUCAGUGAAUCAUCGAAUCUUUGAACGCACAUUGCGCCCUCUGGUAUUCCGGGGGGCAUGCCUGUUCGAGCGUCAUUAUAACCACUCAAGCUCUCGCUUGGUAUUGGGGUUCGCGGUUCCGCGGCCCCUAAAAUCAGUGGCGGUGCCUGUCGGCUCUACGCGUAGUAAUACUCCUCGCGAUUGAGUCCGGUAGGUCUACUUGCCAGCAACCCCCAAUUUUUACAGGUUGACCUCGGAUCAGGUAGGGAUACCCGCGGAACUUAAGCAUAUCAAUAAGCGGAGGA
rnacentral:misc_RNA from 1 species